rnacentral:rRNA from 1 species
CUCGGAAUCACUGGGCGUAAAGGGCGCGUAGGCGGAUUAUCAAGUCUCUUGUGAAAUCUAAUGGCUUAACCAUUAAACUGCUUGGGAAACUGAUAGUCUAGAGUGAGGGAGAGGCAGAUGGAAUUGGUGGUGUAGGGGUAAAAUCCGUAGAUAUCACCAAGAAUACCCAUUGCGAAGGCGAUCUGCUGGAACUCAACUGACGCUAAGGCGCGAAAGCGUGGGGAGCAAACAGGAUUAGAUACCCUGGUAGUCCACGCCCUAAACGAUGUACACUAGUUGUUGGGGUGCUAGUCAUCUCAGUAAUGCAGCUAACGCAUUAAGUGUACCGCCUGGGGAGUACGGUCGCAAGAUUAAAACUCAAAGGAAUAGACGGGGACCCGCACAAGCGGUGGAGCAUGUGGUUUAAUUCGAAGAUACGCGAAGAACCUUACCUGGGCUUGAUAUCCUAAGAACCUUUUAGAGAUAAGAGGGUGCUAGCUUGCUAGAACUUAGAGACAGGUGCUGCACGGCUGUCGUCAGCUCGUGUCGUGAGAUGUUGGGUUAAGUCCCGCAACGAGCGCAACCCACGUAUUUAGUUGCUAACGGUUCGGCCGAGCACUCUAAAUAGACUGCCUUCGUAAGGAGGAGGAAGGUGUGGACGACGUCAAGUCAUCAUGGCCCUUAUGCCCAGGGCGACACACGUGCUACAAUGGCAUAUACAAUGAGACGCAAUACCGCGAGGUGGAGCAAAUCUAUAAAAUAUGUCCCAGUUCGGAUUGUUCUCUGCAACUCGAGAGCAUGAAGCCGGAAUCGCUAGUAAUCGUAGAUCAGCCAUGCUACGGUGA